GAAACGAUGAUUAAAACCUCAUAACGCCGAAGGAACACAUGUUUCAUCGGCCAAAGAUUUAUCGGUCAGGGAUGGGCCUGCGUCUGAUUAACUAGUUGGUGAGGUAACGGCUCACCAAGGUGACGAUCAGUAGCCGACCUGAGAGGGUGAUCGGCCACAUUGGAACUGAGACACGGUCCAAACUUCUACGGAAGGCAGCAGUAGGGAAUCUUGCACAAUGGGCGAAAGCCUGAUGCAGCAACGCCGCGUGAAGGAUGAAGGCCUUCGGGUUGUAAACUUCUGUUCUUAGGGAAGAAGAAAGUGACGGUACCUAAGGAGAAAGCCCCGGCUAACUACGUGCCAGCAGCCGCGGUAAUACGUAGGGGGCAAGCGUUAUCCGGAAUUAUUGGGCGUAAAGAGUGCGUAGGUGGUUAUCUAAGCGUAAGGUUUAAGCGUGCAGCUCAACUGCAUCUCGCCUUGCGAACUGGACUACUUGAGUGCAGGAGGGGAAAGCGGAAUUCCUAGUGUAGCGGUGAAAUGCGUAGAUAUUAGGAGGAACACCAGCGGCGAAGGCGGCUUUCUGGACUGUAACUGACACUGAGGCACGAAAGCGUGGGGAGCAAACAGGAUUAGAUACCCUGGUAGUCCACGCCGUAAACGAUGAGCACUAGAUGUUGGUCCCGAAGGGAUCAGUGUC
rnacentral:rRNA from 1 species